UACGAAGGGUGCAAACGUUGCUCGGAAUUAUUGGGCGUAAAGCGCACGUAGGCGGCUUUUGUAAGUCGGAUGUGAAAAUCCCCUCGGCUUAACCAAGGAAGUGCAUCCGAAAACUACAGAGCUUGAGUACUUAAGAGGAUCGCGGAAUUCCCGGUGUAGAGGUGAAAAUUUCGUAGAUAUCGGGGAGGAACACCAGUAGCGAAAGGGCGGCGAUCUGGGGAA
rnacentral:rRNA from 1 species